GACGAACGCUGGCGGCGUGCUUAACACAUGCAAGUCGAACGGAAAGGCCCAGCUUGCUGGGUACUCGAGUGGCGAACGGGUGAGUAACACGUGGGUGAUCUGCCCUUCACUCUGGGAUAAGCCUGGGAAACUGGGUCUAAUACCGGAUAUGACCGACUGUCGCAUGGUGGGUGGUGGAAAGCUUUUGCGGUGUGGGAUGGGCCCGCGGCCUAUCAGCUUGUUGGUGGGGUAAUGGCCUACCAAGGCGACGACGGGUAGCCGACCUGAGAGGGUGAUCGGCCACCAUGGGACUGCGGCACGCCCCAGACUCCUACGUGGGGCAGCGGUGGGGAAUAUUGUCCAAUGGGCGCGAGCCUGAUGCAGCGACGCCGCGUGUGGGAUGCCGGCCUUCGGGUUGUAAACCUCUUUGCCCAGGGACGGAGCGUGAGUGACGGUACCUGGAGAAGAAGCACCGGCCAACUACGUG
rnacentral:rRNA from 1 species